AAAAAGGAUGGGUGGGCGAGAGAAGGAUGAAGCCAAGACAAAAGUUUCUGAUCAAAGCUCAAAGUUUAGUUUUCAGCUCUGUAUUUAUAUAGUGAAAGCCCACAGACCCAUCCUUUGUUUCAGCUGGAUUGAGAUGCAAAGCAAGCUCAGCAGGCAGUCAACUUCUCAAAGCACAGUAGGGAAUUGCAAAUGCAGCAAGGCCAGGUUGUAAAAACCAUGAGGGGUGGGGUUGUUUAGCCUACUCAAGGCUGGGGGAAGGGCACACAUAAAUGUAAUUUUACUUAAUAAAUAUUAUUUAUCCUUGUCUCAACUACCUUAAGCUUUAAUUAUCUGUCUACCAGUAACUCUAGAGCAGGUGUCUUUAGAGUUAAAUUUUCUCAUGUAUUAAAGUCAUCUUCUGUGACAAAGAUGAGUCAUUGUCUCUUGCAGAGGAGGAGGUAACACCAGAGUGCCUUUCUCUGCAGGCUCCAGUGAUUGGGUUUUGCCAGGAGACUGAUUUGUCCCACCUUAUCCAUGGUCUCCUGUGGAAGGGCAGGUAUCAGUGUGUUUCAAGAAGCUUAUAUGUUUCUGUCUUAAAGUCUGAUCCUUCGCCAGUUUCCAGGACUGCCCAUGUUUACGGAUGACUUACUAAGCUCUUGGUCAUUUAAAGAGAACAGGUGAUAUUUUACCUCCUGAAAGACAACAAGGGUUCCUUUGUGCUCCCUUUUACUUGACACAUAGGGUAUGUAUGACCUUGAGAAAGGAGAUCUUUGCUCACUCACCCAUGAUCCUGUAUUCACUUAGAAAUCACAUCUGCUCUUAUAAAUUCUGGCUUCCUUCUCCACCACUGGGCCUUACGUUCAGAAAAACUGAUGCUUUCAGGAUGGCUUGUUUUUUGUUUUGGUUUUGUUUUGUUUUGUGUGGGUUUUUUUUUUUUUUUUUUGUCUUAUCCUAAAACUAUAUUUGAGAUCUCACAAAGGGCUCUGAAAAAUCCCGAAACUCCUAGAAUUGUGCAUUACUCAGACAAGCAGACAGCGGACUUGGAGAGGACUUGGAGAGGGGCACACAGGGCAGCCUCCAGAGAGGUCACAGGGAACGCUAAAACACCAUAUGCAGCCUUUCAUCUUUGCAAAGAGUUCUAGAUAUAAAGAAUAAAUGCAUGCAAAGCUAGCAGAUUCUCCAACCUCCUGGAGGAUAACUGGGAGGAAAAGAUGACCUCUAUCCCAUAACCAUAUCAGAAUGAUGAAAUGAAACAGUGAGACCAGAUACAAAGGGACAAACACCCACCCCAUGGUCCAGAAGGCCCUGGCUGUGUGUUUUAGGUAUGCAAGUGCAUGAUUUCCAAUGCAUGCCUGAUGGACUUCAGCAUGUAUCCCAUACUGCUUCGCUGCCACCACCAGCUGGGAAGAGCCUGGCCACUGUGGUCCGCUACACUUUCCUUGACUUGGAGGAAGAUUCUCCCUAACUUUGCCAUAGCACAGUUAAUUUUAAGAGGUCCCUAAAGCAGAAUGCCCACCAUUUCCUGGCUGCAUGAGUUACCAAUAACCAUCAGACUUCUCCCAGCCUAAUUUUAAAUAUGAAAUAAUAACACCAGAUCUCAAAGGAGUGGCCUAAGAAGGAAAUGAUAGUCAUAAAACACCCAGCAGUUUCUGCUACAUGAUAAAUAUAAACUGAAAAGCUGUGUCCCUGUACCCAUUACUACUCUGUUGUUGUGAUAAAACACCAUCACCAGAGACAACUUAUGGAAGAAAGGGUUUAUUUUAGCUUAGGGUUCUGAGGUGAGAGGACGUAGACAUGGCAGCAGGAAGCUGAGAGCUCACAUUCUCAACCAGGUACAGAAAGCAGCAAGGACGAGCUGGAAGCGGGGCAAUCCACAGUCUGUCAAGGACCAUUCCAACAGCGACUCAGUCUGCCCGCAAGGCUGCACCUCCUAAAUGCUUCAUGACAAUCCAAACCCAUCACCAGCCAGGAGCCGAGUCUCCAAGUGUGUGAGCCUGUGUAAUGCAUUUCCCAUCCAAACCACAACAGCUCCAUAUAAACUACACUGGGAUGAAGCAGGGCACAGCUUUGUACCUUUACUGCAUGGAAAUUAACUCAGGUGCACGUUCAGUUAUAAACUGGGAAGAAUGUUUAUUUUAAUUGCUCACUUAAAACUUUGAUGUGUUUCCCCAUGGCUUCCUGACGUUAGACCUCUGCAUUUACCCAGUAGAUUCCAGGGCUGUCUGCAAGCUACCCUUCACUGCUGAAGGUGGGGAACUGGUUGUUCAGAGGAAUUAAUUCCUUCCUUUUUAGCAGCGUGAGAAUCAGAAUGCUUGCAGUUUCCAUGCUGCAUGGAAACACCUAUCCCUGGGCAUCUGGUGUUUCCUAGUUCAUAAUGAGUGAAGGGCAUGUUCUGCAAUUAGCCUAUAAGGACUUCCACUGAAACUCUGUCACCCACCUGGUUGGGAGAGAUUAUUUUAAUUGUUAGACCCUAAAAUUCAUGUUAAUGUCUGAAUUCUUGAGAUUCAUUCAUAGGUUCAGAAAGCAGUUCUUAAAACCCUAUCACAUGUCAGAUACUUUGCUAAGUCCUACAUCUACAGAAGGCAAGAAGCCAGGCUUGGCCACUGAUGCAAAGAAUUACACACAAACAUGGCGAAGCAGACAGAAUGCUUUGUACAGCCAGUGACAGGUGGUCAGAACAAGUAUGGGAUGGCUAGACAUGGGUGGGGCCAGGUGUUCAUAUUCAAAGAUC
rnacentral:lncRNA from 1 species